CGGUCCUACGGGGCGCAGCAGUGGGGAAUAUUGCACAAUGGGGGGAACCCUGAUGCAGCGACGCCGCGUGGGUGAAGGAGUAUUUCGGUAUGUAAAGCCCUAUCAGCAGGGAAGAAGAAAUGACGGUACCUGAGUAAGAAGCACCGGCUAAAUACGUGCCAGCAGCCGCGGUAAUACGUAUGGUGCAAGCGUUAUCCGGAUUUACUGGGUGUAAAGGGAGCGCAGGCGGCACGGCAAGCCUGAUGUGAAAGCCCGCGGCCCAACCGCGGGACUGCAUUGGGCACUACCGGGCUGGAGUGCCGGAG
rnacentral:rRNA from 1 species